rnacentral:rRNA from 1 species
GACGAACGCUGGCGGCGUGCUUAACACAUGCAAGUCGAACGGAAAGGCCCUGCUUUCGUGGGGUGCUAGCGUGGCGAACGGGUGAGUAACCCGUGAGUAUCCUGCCCUUGACUUUGGGAUAACUUCAGGAAACUGGGGCUACUACCGGAUAGGAGCUCCUGCUGCAUGGUGGGGGUUGGAACGUUUCGGCGGAUGGGGAUGGACUCGGGGCUUAUCAGCUUGUUGGUGGGGUAGUGGCUUACCAAGGCAUAGGCGGGUAGCCGGCCUGGGAGGGGGACCGGCGUCAAGAGUACUAAGAGACGGCCCAGACGCCAACGGUAGACAGCGGUGGGGAAUAUGACACAAUGGGCGGAAGCCUGUUGCAGCAACGCCGCGAUCGUGAUGACGGCCUUCGGGUGGUAAACCGCAUUCGCCUGUUACGAAGCGUUAUUGACGGUAAUGAGUAAAGAAGCACCGGCUAACUACGUG